rnacentral:lncRNA from 1 species
GGCUUUUCGCAUUUUCGCGUUUUCGCCUUUUUGGCUUUUCGCAUUUUCGCGUUUUCGACUUCACGAUUUCGCCCUUUAGAAUAUGAAAGGCGAAAACGCGAAAAACGCAAAAAUGCGAAAUUAACCACCAUAGGAUCUACCUAUUAUUUUUAUUGUUCAUAUUUUACCGUCCAGAACAUGAAUGACAUAGAUACUACUGGACUAAGGCAACCAACAAUCAAUCGACUACUGGACAUAGGCAACCAACAAUCAAUCGACUACUGGACUUAGGCAACCAACAAUCAAUCGACUACUGGACUUAGGCAACCAACAAUCAAUCGACUACUGGACUUAGGCAACCAACAAUUAAUCGAAGUAAAAUGCAACAAAGUUGUGCAAGAAAAAUUAUUGUACAAGAUGUUUGUGUGUGUGUGUGUGUUGUUUGUUGGCUGUUCUGUUCAAGUAUACAAUAAACAUCCCAAG